AUCCGGCUGACGAGUCCCGAACAGGACGAAACACACGUCCAGGAU
rnacentral:hammerhead_ribozyme from 1 species